rnacentral:rRNA from 1 species
GGGUGCGAUCAUACAAGCGUUAGUGCACCGGAUCCCAUCAGAACUCCGCAGUUAAGCGCGCUUGGGCCGGAGUAGUACUGGGAUGGGUGACCCCCUGGGAAGUCCCGGUGUUGCACCCUU